ensembl:Y_RNA Y_RNA Y RNA
GGCUGGUCCCAAGAUAGUGAGUUAUCUCCGUUGAUUGUUCACAGUCAGUUACAGACCAAACUCUUUCCCCUCUUCUCACUACUGCACUGGACUAGUCUAAA